AAACAACAAAAUAAUAAUAUCUAUAUAUCGUCGCAAUAAGGGCGACAGUUUCUACCCGGAACCGUAAAUUCUGGACUAUAGGUAAUCGAGUCAUUAAA
rfam:Lactobacillus amylolyticus DSM 11664 contig00033, whole genome shotgun sequence.